rnacentral:rRNA from 1 species
GACGAACGCUGGCGGCGUGCUUAACACAUGCAAGUCGAACGGAGUGGCGAACGGGUGGGUAAGUCGUGGGUGACCAGCUCUGCACUUCGGGAGAAGCCUGGGCAGCUGGGGCUGAUACUGGAGCGUGUGGGAUGGGCGCGGGGCCUAUCGGCUUGUUGGGGGGGUAAUGGACUACCAAGGCGGCGCCGGGUAGCCGGCCUGGGAGGGUAGACGGCCACAUUGGGACUAAGGCACGGACCAGACGCCGACGGGAGGCAGUAGUCGAGAAUAUUGCACAAUGGGCGGAAGCGUGUUGCAUCGACGUCGCGUGGGGGAUGACGGCCGUCGGGGUGUAAACGCCUUUCAGCAACGACGCGGUAGAUGGAGAAGAAGCACCGGCUAACUACGUGCCAACAGCCGCGGUAAUUC